GAUGAACGCUGGCGGCGUGCCUAAUACAUGCAAGUCGAGCGAACGGACGAGAAGCUUGCUUCUCUGAUGUUAGCGGCGGACGGGUGAGUAACACGUGGAGAACCUACCUAUAAGACUGGGAUAACUUCGGGAAACCGGAGCUAAUACCGGAUGAUAUUUUGAACCUCAUGGUUCAAAAGUGAAAGACGGUCUUUCUGUCACUUAUAGAUGGAUCCGCGCUGCAUUAGCUAGUUGGUAAGGUAACGGCUUACCAAGGCAACGAUGCAUAGCCGACCUGAGAGGGUGAUCGGCCACACUGGAACUGAGACACGGUCCAGAAUCCUACGGGAGGCAGCAGUAGGGAAUCUUCCGCCAUGGGCGAAAGCCUGACGGAGCAACGACGCGUGAGUGAUGAAGGUCUUCGGAUCGUAAAACUCUGUUAUCAGGGAAGAACAUAUGUGUCAGUAACUGUGCACAUCUUGACGGUACCUAAUCAGAAAGCCACGGCUAACUACGUG
rnacentral:rRNA from 1 species